GUGGCCAUGCAGAAAGGACUCACGUGUGGGAGCUGAACGUGGCACGUCACAUCCAUCCCGUGAAUGGCUGCGCCCUUCAGAGGGUGGUGCCACCGCCAGGGGAUGCUGACACGGGUCAGUGGAGGGAGAGCCACCCACCGUCAGGACAGGCCGACGGCUGACCCGCUCCUGUUCCGUGCCUGGCCUUGCUCCUCUUUGGCCUUGAGGGCCCCUGCUUCCAGGUGCUCGGGAGCGAGCAAGUCCCUUUUCGGAGAGAGUGUGCGGCAAACAGGGUGAGAAGAAAUGUGCCACCGAAUUCCAUUCCAAACGCACACACGGAGCAAAGCCCACAGGCUAGCGCGGGGCAGAGACCCAAUGGAACAGGCCCCACAAAACAGCGCGGAAAUGGAUCCACUUUGCGGCAGUGACGCAGUUAAUCCUCUUGGAAGCCACAGUCAUGGCCCAGAACCGAAUGCCACCCUCCCUCUCGCUCCCUGGAAAGUCAAGGACAUCCAGCAACACCCCAAACAUCACCCGCCCUGCACUUCAUCGACACCUGCACACGUCGGCAAGUCCCGACGGUGCCCCUGCUGAGUCAGAGCGGGCGCUCACGGGCCCUCCAGCGCCACUCACCACCCCCGGGGGCCAA